rnacentral:rRNA from 1 species
GAUGAACGCUGGCGGCGUGCCUAAUACAUGCAAGUCGAGCGGAAACAGGGAGAGCUUGCUCUCCGCUGUCGAGCGGCGGACGGCUGAGUAACACGUAGGAACAUACCCCAAAGGGAGGGAUAACUGCUCGAAAGAGUAGCUAAUACCGCAUGUGGUCUAAGGAUUAAAGCUUCGGCGCUUUGGGAAUGGCCUGCGUUCGAUUAGCUAGAUGGUGGGGUAAAGGCCUACCAAGGCGACGAUCAGUAGCUGGUCUGAGAGGACGAUCAGCCACACUGGGACUGAGACACGGCCCAGACUCCUACGGGAGGCAGCAGUGGGGAAUUUUGGACAAUGGGCGAAAGCCUGAUCCAGCAAUGCCGCGUGUGUGAAGAAGGCCUUCGGGUUGUAAAGCACUUUUGUCCGGAAAGAAAUGGCUCUGGUUAAUACCUGGGGUCGAUGACGGUACCGGAAGAAUAAGGACCGGCUAACUACGUGCCAGCCGCCGCCGUAA